CGCGUAGGCGGUUUGAUCAGUUAGGUGUGAAAUUCCUGGGCUUAACCUGGGGGGCUGCACUUAAUACGGUCAGGCUAGAGUGUGAAAGAGGGUCGUGGAAUUCCCAGUGUAGAGGUGAAAUUCGUAGAUAUUGGGAAGAACACCGGUGGCGAAGGCGGCGACCUGGUUCAUUACUGACGCUGAGGCGCGAAAGCGUGGGGAGCAAACA
rnacentral:rRNA from 1 species